CAAAGCAAAAAUUGCACAUUUUUCUUGCAUAAAUGGAUCAGAAAGAUGGUUCUGGGCAUUUCAGAUGCACUCCUGAGUAACUGCCUUAUGGUAGAGAUAUGCUGUUUCUGAAAGGCGCACUCCUCAUGGAAGUUUGAUGUUGGUUGGAGCAUGGGUCUUGCAACCAUGGUGUUGAAUUGGACGGACUGGGGCUGCCGUCUCAGCCCUGACCCUUGCUAGGUGAGGACCAGCCUCGUAGGAUUUUUUUCUUUUUUUUUUUUUUUGAGGUGGAGUCUCCCUCUGUCACGCAGGUUGGACUGCAGUGGCACAAUUUUGGCUCACUGCAACCUCCACCUCCUAGGUUCAAGCGGUUCUCCUGGCUCAGCCUUCCGAGUAGCUGGGAUUACAGACACCCACCACCACGCCCCGCUAAUUUUUGUAUUUUUAGUAGAGACGAGGCUUCACGAUGUUGGUCAGACUGGUCUCAAACUCCUGACCUCAAGUGAUCUGCCCGCCUCGGCCUCCCAAAGUGCUGUCAUUACAGGCAUGAGCGACCACUCCCGGCCAGCCUUAUAGGAUUUGAGGAGGGGAUUGAUGCCUACGCAGCCCUGGGCACGGUGCUGGGUGCACAGGAAGAGCUCAGUGAAUGGAGGGAGUUAUUAUCCUUGUUAGUCUCGCUGUCUAGUUGCUCUUAACCUAGCAGGUGUUAAUGGGGCACCUUUGGAAGCUGGGUGCUUGUCUGGACUGUGGAGCACGGAGGGUGCAGCCGUCCCUCAUGACCGUGCUGCAGAAGCACCCCUAGAUGCAAGAAGCCCCAAGCAGAGUCAAGAAGCAUCUCAGGGAAAUGUUCCUCAUGUAAACUGUUGUUUAAAGUGCAGGUAAGCCGGUUGUGGCAGCUCACGCCUAUAAUCCAAACACUUUGGGAUGCCAAGUUGGGGAGGAUCACUUGAGCCCAGGAGUUUGAGAGCAGCCAGGGUAACAUAGAGAGAUCCUAUCUAUACCCAUCCCCCCCAAAAAAUUGCCCGGUGUGGUGGCCCAUGCUUGUGGUCCCAGCUGCUCAGGAGGCCAUGGCAGGAGGAUCACUUGAGCCCCAGAGGUGGAGGCUUCAGUGCCCGUGAUUGUGCCACUGCACUCCAGCCUGGGAGACAGAGCGAGACCCUGUCUCAAAAAAAUUAAUAAAUAAAUAAAGUACAAUUUAUUGUAUUUCUUCUGACUUUUAUUAAUAUUUUCCUGUUUUAUACAUAUUUAUAUAAUCAUAUAUAUAAUCAUGCAUCAUUUAAUGUUGGGGAGAUGUUCUGAGAACUGUGUCAUUAAGCAACAUCGUUAUUGUGUGAACAUCAUAGAGUGUCCUUAUACAAACACAGAUGGCAGAGCCUACUACACGCCUGGGCCGUAUGGUAGAGCCUGUUGCUCCUAGGCUAUAAACCUGAACAGCAUGCGGCUGUACUGCAUAUUGUAGUCAGUGGUAACACAGUGGUAUUUGUGUAUCCAUCAUAUAUGCAAUCUGUCAUUGCAAUAUUAUUAAGUGCAGUGAGUCCCAGCUACUUGGGAGGCUGAGGCAAGAGAAUCGCUUGAACCCAGGAGGCGGAGGUUGCAGUGAGCCAAGAUCACACCACAGCACUCCAGCCUGGGCGACAGAGCGAAACUCUCCUCAAAAAAUAAAAAACUGGCCGGGUGUGGUGGCUCAGACCUGUAAUCCCAGCACUUUGGGAGGCCAAGGCGGGCGCGGUGGCUCACGCCUGUAAUCCCAGCACUUUGGGAGGCCGAGGCGGGUGGAUCACGAGGUCAGGAGAUCGAGACCAUCCUGGCUAACACGGUGAAACCCCGUCUCUACUAAAAAAAUACAAAAAAUAAGCCGAGCGUGGUGGCGGGUGCCUAUAGUCCCAGCUACUCAGGAGGCUGAGGCAGGAGAAUGGCGUGAACCCGGGAGGCGGAGCUUACAGUGAGCCGAGAUCGUGCCACUGCACUCCAGCCUGGGCGACAGAGCAAGACUCUGUCUCAAAAAAA
rnacentral:lncRNA from 1 species